UACGUAGGCAGCGAGCGUUGUUCGGAGUUACUGGGCGUAAAGCGUGCGUAGGCGGUGGACCAAGUCUGGUGUGAAAUCUCCCGGCUCAACCGGGAGGGUGCGCCGGAAACUGGUUCGCUGGAGUGCGGGAGAGGCAAGCGGAAUUCACGGUGUAGCAGUGAAAUGCGUAGAUAUCGUGAGGAACACCAGAGGCGAAGGCGGUUACCUGGACAGUUACUGACGCUCAGGCACGAAAGCGUGGGGAGCAAAAGGG
rnacentral:rRNA from 1 species